rnacentral:rRNA from 1 species
GACGAACGCUGGCGGCGUGCUUAACACAUGCAAGUCGAACGGUAAGGCCCUUCGGGGUACACGAGUGGCGAACGGGUGAGUAACACGUGGGUGAUCUGCCCUGCACUUCGGGAUAAGCCUGGGAAACUGGGUCUAAUACCGGAUAGGACCACUGCCUGCAUGGGUGGUGGUGUAAAGCUUUUGCGGUGUGGGAUGGGCCCGCGGCCUAUCAGCUUGUUGGUGGGGUGAUGGCCUACCAAGGCGACGACGGGUAGCCGGCCUGGGAGGGUGACCGGCCACACUGGGACUGAGAUACGGCCCAGACUCCUACGGGAGGCAGCAGUGGGGAAUAUUGCACAAUGGGCGCAAGCCUGAUGCAGCGACGCCGCGUGAGGGAUGACGGCCUUCGGGUUGUAAACCUCUUUCAGCACCGACGAAGCGCAGGUGACGGUAGGUGCAGAAGAAGGACCGGCCAACUACGUGCCAGCCGCCGCAGUAA